rnacentral:miRNA from 1 species
ACAGGUCCUAAGAGACUGCAU